rnacentral:lncRNA from 1 species
CAGGGAGUUUGCUUUGGAAACAACUGUGCUGUCAUCCACAAGAUACAGUAGAAUAUUGGGCCAGGAAGAUUGCAUUGGAUAUGAAGAAGAUAUUUUAAAGCAAGGUUGGCCAUGGCCAGCAUCAACCAUGCUCCUGCCUCAGGGCCUUUGUACCAGCUCUUUUCAUUACCUGAAAUGCUCUUCCCCCAGAUAUCUACAUGUCUGAAAUGACUUCUUCAGAUUAAGGAAACUUUUUCAAAUCCACAGCCAGUGAGUUGUACAGUUAGAACACAAUCCUAUAUUUCUGAUCCCAGAACCUGAGCUGGUAAAUACUCUUCCGUUCUGCCUCAUGUUUAAGAAUUUGUUUUCAAGCUUGGUUCCAAAUAAAGAUUAACCUUG